AAAUAAAAGAUGAACGAAAAUAUGUACAUAUGCAUGUGCAAAGUAGUGAAUGAGUGUUGGCAAACAGUAGCGCGUGUCGUGUUUGUGAGAUUCUGUCGUGCGUGCUUCCACUUUGUGGUUGGUGGCUCACGCGACCAUCACUACCUUAAAGCUACCCCAUGGUAAAUGGUAUUGGAACUGGGGACGACUGGGCACAGGGAUCAUAAUCGAAUUAAAUGCAAUGCCGACAGAACUGAAACGAGAAAGUCAUUAAAAACGCAACGCUAACAAUUGCACGCAAAUUGUUUGGUUGUUUGGUCCCUGCAACAGUUUUUCCCUCUCUCCCGCCACUUACACCCCGCCACCCGUUGUUGCUGCUGCCGCCGCUGCUGCUGGUCGUACAUUACACACAAUACCUACACACAUGCAUACGUGCGAAAAACUAUGAAUGGAAUUCAGGAAUUGGAAUUGGAAUUGGAAUUGGCAAUUGCACGUGGCGUGCUGGUUACCCAAGAUAAGCAACUGGCGACGCGUGCCCCGCCACUGGAAUGCUCGCUCUCUCUUUUUGCCUGUCUCUGUUGCACUCACUCGGUUAGGAAAGAUACCUAUCAUCGGAUCUUGGUGAGCGGCAAGCGAGAGCGACAAUAGUAGGGGAACCACUGUGGCUACAGUGGCAUGUCAACGACAAAGACAACAAAGAUGGCAAAGGAUGACACAUGAACUACAAAUACAACAUUAGCGAGGACAGAACAAAAAAAAACUAACAAAAUGUUGGGCAGUCAAAACGAAACAAAAAUUAAAUGAAUUGUAUAUUAAAACUGUAUUAGUCAAAGUCGCCUGCCUACCAGUUUGCCUGCCUGUCAAACUCAGCAACGCAUCCUGGGUUAGGUCAUUUGAAUGAGACGGCUCUUCCCCCAGUCACCCUCCCCCCAUGCUCGUGGUCCAAAUUGUACGCACUGAAGCAUGAAAAAUGCGGCGACCACAGAAGCAGAAGCAGCAUCAGCAGCAGCAUCAGCAGCAGCAGCAGCAUCAGCCGCAUCAGCAUGAGCAGCAGCCAGGACGAGCCAUCGGUGGAGGGCAGAACUCAAUUCGAGUGUAAAAACGAGGCGAGCAGCCGCCGCCGCCGCCGCGAACGUUUGACAUUUUCGUGUGCAUAAUUAAAUUACGCAACGCACAAAAUGAUGGAAAUGAUGAAGAAAAAAACAACAACAACCGGCAAGGGAGAUACAUUUUCAGAUCGAUUAGUACAGCUCAAAAAUAAUAAUAAUAAAAAAAUUAUAUGUAUAUUUUUUGCACAACUGCUUCAGCUGCACAUUAUGAACAUUUUUGAAAAUUAAGUCAAAAAUUGUCUGCAAUUUCAGAAAACUGCAAGUAAACUGUUUCGAAGCUCUAGAUUCA
rnacentral:sRNA from 1 species